UUAAGCGAACAAGCGUACACGGUGGAUGCCCUGGCAGUCAGAGGCGAUGAAGGACGUGCUAAUCUGCGAAAAGCGCCGGUAAGGUGAUAUGAACCGUUAUAACCGGCGAUGUCCGAAUGGGGAAACCCGGUGCACUUCGGUGCAUCAUCGUUAGCUGAAUACAUAGGCUAACGAGGCGAACCGGGGGAACUGAAACAUCUAAGUACCCCGAGGAAAAGAAAUCAACCGAGAUUCCCCCAGUAGCGGCGAGCGAACGGGGAACAGCCCAGAGCCUGAAUCAGCUUGUGUGUCAGUGGAACGGUCUGGAAAGGCCGGCGAUACAGGGUGACAGCCCCGUACACGAAGGCACACAGGCUGUGAGCUCGAUGAGUAGGGCGGGACACGUGAUAUCCUGUCUGAAGAUGGGGGGACCAUCCUCCAAGGCUAAAUACUCCUGACUGACCGAUAGUGAACCAGUACCGUGAGGGAAAGGCGAAAAGAACCCCGGCGAGGGGAGUGAAACAGAACCUGAAACCGUGUACGUACAAGCAGUGGGAGCCUUCGUAAGAGGGUGACUGCGUACCUUUUGUAUAAUGGGUCAGCGACUUAUAUUCUGUAGCAAGGUUAACCGUAUAGGGGAGCCGAAGGGAAACCGAGUCUUAACCGGGCGUUAAGUUGCAGGGUAUAGACCCGAAACCCGGUGAUCUAGCCAUGGGCAGGUUGAAGGUUGGGUAACACUAACUGGAGGACCGAACCGACUAAUGUUGAAAAAUUAGCGGAUGACCNNNNNNNNNNCUGUGGCUGGGGGUGAAAGGCCAAUCAAACCGGGAGAUAGCUGGUUCUCCCCGAAAGCUAUUUAGGUAGCGCCUCGUGAACUCAUCUCCGGGGGUAGAGCACUGUUUCGGCUAGGGGGCCAUCCCGGCUUACCAACCCGAUGCAAACUGCGAAUACCGGAGAAUGUUAUCACGGGAGACACACGGCGGGUGCUAACGUCCGUCGUGAAGAGGGAAACAACCCAGACCGCCAGCUAAGGUCCCAAAGUCAUGGUUAAGUGGGAAACGAUGUGGGAAGGCCCAGACAGCCAGGAUGUUGGCUUAGAAGCAGCCAUCAUUUAAAGAAAGCGUAAUAGCUCACUGGUCGAGUCGGCCUGCGCGGAAGAUGUAACGGGGCUAAACCAUGCACCGAAGCUGCGGCAGCGACGCUUAUGCGUUGUUGGGUAGGGGAGCGUUCUGUAAGCCUGCGAAGGUGUGCUGUGAGGCAUGCUGGAGGUAUCAGAAGUGCGAAUGCUGACAUAAGUAACGAUAAAGCGGGUGAAAAGCCCGCUCGCCGGAAGACCAAGGGUUCCUGUCCAACGUUAAUCGGGGCAGGGUGAGUCGACCCCUAAGGCGAGGCCGAAAGGCGUAGUCGAUGGGAAACAGGUUAAUAUUCCUGUACUUGGUGUUACUGCGAAGGGGGGACGGAGAAGGCUAUGUCGGCCGGGCGACGGUUGUCCCGGUUUAAGCGUGUAGGCUGACUUUCCAGGCAAAUCCGGAAAGUUAAGGCUGAGGCGUGAUGACGAGGCACUACGGUGCUGAAGUGACAAAUGCCCUGCUUCCAGGAAAAGCCUCUAAGCAUCAGGUAACAUCAAAUCGUACCCCAAACCGACACAGGUGGUCAGGUAGAGAAUACCAAGGCGCUUGAGAGAACUCGGGUGAAGGAACUAGGCAAAAUGGUGCCGUAACUUCGGGAGAAGGCACGCUGACAUGUAGGUGAAGCCCCUGCGGGUGGAGCUGAAGUCAGUCGAAGAUACCAGCUGGCUGCAACUGUUUAUUAAAAACACAGCACUGUGCAAACACGAAAGUGGACGUAUACGGUGUGACGCCUGCCCGGUGCCGGAAGGUUAAUUGAUGGGGUUAUCGCAAGAGAAGCUCCUGAUCGAAGCCCCGGUAAACGGCGGCCGUAACUAUAACGGUCCUAAGGUAGCGAAAUUCCUUGUCGGGUAAGUUCCGACCUGCACGAAUGGCGUAAUGAUGGCCAGGCUGUCUCCACCCGAGACUCAGUGAAAUUGAACUCGCUGUGAAGAUGCAGUGUACCCGCGGCAAGACGGAAAGACCCCGUGAACCUUUACUACAGCUUGACACUGAACAUUGAGCCUUGAUGUGUAGGAUAGGUGGGAGGCUUUGAAGCGUGGACGCCAGUCUGCGUGGAGCCGACCUUGAAAUACCACCCUUUAAUGUUUGAUGUUCUAACCUGGCGCCGUGAUCCGGCGUGGGGACAGUGUCUGGUGGGUAGUUUGACUGGGGCGGUCUCCUCCCAAAGUGUAACGGAGGAGCACGAAGGUCAGCUAAUCCUGGUCGGACAUCAGGAGGUUAGUGCAAUGGCAUAAGCUGGCUUGACUGCGAGAGUGACGGCUCGAGCAGGUGCGAAAGCAGGUCAUAGUGAUCCGGUGGUUCUGUAUGGAAGGGCCAUCGCUCAACGGAUAAAAGGUACUCCGGGGAUAACAGGCUGAUACCGCCCAAGAGUUCAUAUCGACGGCGGUGUUUGGCACCUCGAUGUCGGCUCAUCACAUCCUGGGGCUGAAGUAGGUCCCAAGGGUAUGGCUGUUCGCCAUUUAAAGUGGUACGCGAGCUGGGUUUAGAACGUCGUGAGACAGUUCGGUCCCUAUCUGCCGUGGGCGCUGGAGAAUUGAGGGGGGCUGCUCCCAGUACGAGAGGACCGGAGUGGACGCAUCACUGGUGUUCGGGUUGUCAUGCCAAUGGCACUGCCCGGUAGCUAAAUGCGGAAGAGAUAAGUGCUGAAAGCAUCUAAGCACGAAACUUGCCCCGAGAUGAGUUCUCCCUGAGACUAUAAGUCUCCUGAAGGAACGUUGAAGACGACGACGUUGAUAGGCCGGGUGUGUAAGCGCAGCGAUGCGUUGAGCUAACCGGUACUAAUGAACCGUGAGGCUUAACCUU
rnacentral:rRNA from 1 species